rnacentral:lncRNA from 1 species
AUGAAGAAGAAAAAACGGAGGGAGAGGAAUGAAUUUUUUUUACGUCUUUUUAAUUUCAUCCCUCUGCAAUUUUACAUUUUUGGUUUUCGUCCCUCCUUUUUAGCCACUCAUUAGCUCUCUUGACACAUAAGCAUGCUUUGCCAACUCACCAUUCGCCACGUGUGUCUCCGUCUGCCACCACAACGUUUUUGUAACGGGAGGGACUAAUUGCAAA